GACGAACGCUGGCGGCGUGCUUAACACAUGCAAGUCGAACGGUGAACCACUUCGGUGGGGAUCAGUGGCGAACGGGUGAGUAACACGUGGGUGACCUGCCCUCAGCUCUGGGAUAAGCCUGGGAAACUGGGUCUAAUACUGGAUAUGACUCCACGGUGCAUGUCGUGGGGUGGAAAGCCUUGUGCGGCUGAGGAUGGGCCCGCGGCCUAUCAGCUUGUUGGUGGGGUGAUGGCCUACCAAGGCGACGACGGGUAGCCGGCCUGAGAGGGCGACCGGCCACACUGGGACUGAGACACGGCCCAGACUCCUACGGGAGGCAGCAGUGGGGAAUCUUGCGCAAUGGGCGAAAGCCUGACGCAGCGACGCCGCGUGAGGGAUGACGGCCU
rnacentral:rRNA from 1 species